rnacentral:tRNA from 1 species
UAGCUCAGUCAGUUGAGCGUAGCGCUAACAACGUUAAGGUUGCGGGUUCGAUUCCCAU